GCCGAAGGUGGCGAGCGUUGUUCGGAAUCACUGGGCUUAAAGCGCAUGUAGGCGGCCUGUUAAGUGUCUUGUGAAAUCCCCCGGCUCAACCGGGGAAUGGCUGGGCAAACUGACGGGCUUGAGGCAGGUAAGGGCGGGUGGAACUCUUGGUGGAGCGGUGGAAUGCGUAGAUAUCAAGAGGAACGCCGGAGGUGAAGACGACCCGCUGGGCCUGUCCUGACGCUGAGAUGCGAAAGCCAGGGGAGAAAACGGG
rnacentral:rRNA from 1 species